rnacentral:rRNA from 1 species
UUAAGUCCCGCAACGAGCGCAACCCUUAUCCUGUUUGCCAGCGAGUAAUGUCGGGAACUCCAGGGAGACUGCCGGUGAUAAACCGAGGAAGUGGGGACGACGUCAAGUCAUCAUGGCCCUUACGAGUAGGGCUACACACGUGCUACAAUGGCGCAUACAGAGGGCAGCCAACUCGCGAGAGUGAGCGAAUCCCAAAAAGUGCGUCGUAGUCCGGAUUGGAGUCUGCAACUCGACUCCAUGAAGUCGGAAUCGCUAGUAAUCGUAGAUCAGAAUGCUACGGUGAAUACGUUCCCGGGCCUU